GACGAACGCUGGCGGCGUGCCUAAUACAUGCAAGUUGAGCGCUGAAGGUUGGUCCUUGUACCAACUGGAUGAGCAGCGAACGGGUGAGUAACGCGUGGGGAAUCUGCCUUUGAGCGGGGGACAACAUUUGGAAACGAAUGCUAAUACCGCAUAAAAACUUUAAACACAAGUUUUAAGUUUGAAAGAUGCAAUUGCAUCACUCAAAGAUGAUCCCGCGUUGUAUUAGCUAGUUGGUGAGGUAAAGGCUCACCAAGGCGAUGAUACAUAGCCGACCUGAGAGGGUGAUCGGCCACAUUGGGACUGAGACACGGCCCAAACUCCUACGGGAGGCAGCAGUAGGGAAUCUUCGGCAAUGGACGAAAGUCUGACCGAGCAACGCCGCGUGAGUGAAGAAGGUUGUCGGAUCGUAAAACUCGGUUGGUAGAGAAGAACGUUGGUGAGAGUGGAAAGCUCAUCAAGUGACGGUAACUACCCAGAAAGGGACGGCUAACUACGUG
rnacentral:rRNA from 1 species